AUGUACCCCUCACACUGCGGUUCUGAGCGCGCCGUCCGCGCCCACCUGAACGCUGCGCGCGACGUUUUGCUGGCC
rnacentral:sRNA from 1 species